rnacentral:rRNA from 1 species
CUUGGUGAUUUGUGCGGCGGAGGUACACCCGGUCCCUUCCCGAACCCGGAAGUUAAGACCGCCAGCGCCGAUGGUACUUGGUGGGAGACCGCCUGGGAGAGUAGGUCGUUGCCAAGG